CGUAAGAAUCUACCUACAGACUCGGGACAACAGUUAGAAAUGACUGCUAAUACCGGAUAUGCCUUCGGGUGAAAGAUUUAUCAUCUGUAGAUGAGCUUGCGUCCGAUUAGCUAGAUGGUGAGGUAAUGGCUCACCAUGGCGACGAUCGGUAGCUGGUCUGAGAGGAUGACCAGUCACACUGGGACUGAGACACGGCCCAG
rnacentral:rRNA from 1 species